GAGGACCGUAUUCAUGGAAGAGGAUUGAACAGUAAAGAACCCAGCAAUUGGUAAAGAUGAGAAUAUAUCGCCUCAAGUAAAAGGAGAUGAAGACAUGGGAGAUGAAAUUGACAGUAUGUUGGCUACAUCUGGAGGUCUUUUCUCCUGAGAACACGGGACUCCAGCAUCUUCGGAUUCUGCUCUUGGAGAUGUGUGCAGCUGAACAGAGCGUUGAGGAAACGUCAGUGAUUUUAUAACUACUUAUCAUGUUGGGAGAUUGUUGUGAUGAUUGCCUGGACUCUCAGAUGUUACACAGGCUGCAUCAUUGGACUGAAAGUGAAUGGCCCAUGUGUUGCCACUGAUGUGAGCCAUUUGCCUGUUGUGCUUCA
rnacentral:precursor_RNA from 1 species